rnacentral:tRNA from 1 species
UUACAAAAAAAUCUGACUGUUAAUCAGAGGGUCGCUGGUUCAAGUCCAGCUUUGGGAG